rnacentral:rRNA from 1 species
GACGAACGCUGGCGGCAGGCUUAACACAUGCAAGUCGAGCGAGAAGCUUACCUUCGGGUAAGUGGAAAGCGGCAGACGGGUGAGUAACGCGUGGGAACGUGCCCUUCGGUACGGAACAACAGUUAGAAAUGACUGCUAAUACCGUAUACGACCUCCGGGUGAAAGAUUUAUCGCCGAAGGAUCGGCCCGCGUUGGAUUAGCUUGUUGGUGAGGUAAAAGCUCACCAAGGCGACGAUCCAUAGCUGUUCUGAGAGGAAGACCAGCCACACUGGGACUGAGACACGGCCCAGACUCCUACGGGAGGCAGCAGUGGGGAAUAUUGGACAAUGGGCGCAAGCCUGAUCCAGCCAUGCCGCGUGGAUGAAGAAGGCCCUAGGGUUGUAAAAUCCUUUCGCCAGGGAAGAUAAUGACGGUACCUGGAAAAGAAGCCCCGGCUAAUUUCGUG